AUUCAUAUAAUUUAUAUAGAAUAUUGCAUUGAAGCUGCAAAAGAGAUGAUUACAUUUGUGAAUA
rnacentral:tRNA from 2 species